rnacentral:misc_RNA from 1 species
ACUUAAUCUGGUUUUCGCUCUGCCAUGUUGGUCCAGGUAAUCGUAUCGAUAGUAUCUGUGUAUAUUAUAUCUUGGCUGAUUCAGUAUGGACUACAGUACCGAAAAUGGCUCCAGCUGACCUCCAAGAUCAACCCGAUCGGAAAGAUCCAUCCAAUAUGGGGACACUUUGCACUGUUCGACAACAUGCAGGGGUUCUACAAAACUAUUUUCGAGCUUCAGGAAAAAACUGGAGCUAGACUAUACCAUGGCUGGACGAUGUUCUUCUACCCGAGCUUCGGCGUUUGUCACCCGGAAACGGCAAAGGUGCUCCUGAAAUCCUCCGAACCGAAACCCAAACACACGAUGGGAGGAUCCUACAGAUUCCUGUUACCUUGGUUAGGCGAUGGUCUGCUAAUAUCAGGUGGCAAGAAGUGGGAGAGAAACCGUCGUCUGCUGACACCCGCCUUCCAUUUUGACAUUCUCAGACCCUACGUACAAAUCUAUAAUGACGUCGCUGAAGUGUUUUUGGGAAAACUACAGAAAUUCUGCAAGUCACGACAAAGCGUGGAAAUUGACAAACUGGUGUCCCUGGCAACGCUUGACACCAUGUUGAGGUGUUCUCUGUCUUACCACGGUCAGGUGCAGGAGCUGGGGUAAGCCUUAGAUCACGGCUAACGUACUCACUGCUUCUAUAGUUUCUUUGUAUAACUUUGAUUCGUUUUUGAUGUUUUGUGGCUUACAGAGACAGCAAUCCUUACGUUGAUGCCGUCCAUAGGUUGGUGGAUUUAGCCAUCAAACGGAUGAUAUCACCGUGGGUGCAUCCUGACUUUAUAUAUGGUUUAACGGCCAAUGGCAGAGAGAAUAAAAGACUGACAAAAGAGAUGAUCCAGAUAUACUGAACAAACGCCGAAAAGAUUUCUUGGACAUUCUUAUCACAGCUAGAGACGAAAACGGCAAAGGUCUGACAGCCGAGGAAAUCCGGGCUGAGGUCGAUACCUUUCUGUUUGAAGGCCACGACACAACAGCUUCUGCCAUUUGCUGGGCCGUAUACUCUUUAGGGAAAUAUCAAGAUCUGCAAGAAAAAGUUUAUCAAGAGCUUAUGCAAGUUCUGGGUGAUCGUCAAAAGCUUCAGUGGGAGGAUAUGAGUCGGCUGCGAUACAUGUCGAUGUUUCUGCGAGAAGUGAUGAGGAUGCAUGCCCCAGUACCCGCGAUAGCUCGUCAUCUCACAAAACCCCUCAACAUCGAGGGUGUCGAGAUUCCCGCCAACUUCACGGUGGACAUCGUCGUCCAUGCGGUCAAUCAUCACCCAGAUGUCUGGCCUGACCACAAGGAAUUUAAGCCUGAGAGAUUUGAAGAUGAGGCUAAAUUGUCACGUGAUCCUUACAGUUAUUUUCCUUUCUCUGCAGGAUCUAGAAACUGCAUAGGUCAAAACUUUGCCCUUAAUGAGCAGAAAGUCCUGAUUGGUUCUUUGGUGAAAAGAUUUAAGGUGAGUUUAGUGGAAGGACACGUGUAUGAGGAGUACCCGGAUGUAGUUAUGCGCUCACAGUUCGGCAUCAAGAUCAAUUUAGAAGAGAGGGCGUAGGAACCAUUGCCCUUAUUCCAACUGAGCCUAGUGUUGCAUGUUCUAGCGGGAAACUGUUUGUUAUAAAUGUAUAAAACCCUU